UACAGAGGGGGCGAGCGUUAUUCGGAAUUACUGGGCGUAAAGCGCGUGUAGGCGGAACUGUGUGUCAGAUGUGAAAUCCCCGGGCUCAACCCGGGAACUGCACCUGAAACUACAGAUCUUGAGUGUCGGAGAGGGCGGCGGAAUUCCUGGUGUAGAGGUGAAAUUCGUAGAUAUCAGGAGGAACACCGGUGGCGAAGGCGGCCGCCUGGACGACUACUGACGCUGAGACGCGAAAGCGUGGGGAGCAAACAGG
rnacentral:rRNA from 1 species